GUGCUUACUUUGGCAUCACAUAGUACUAAAAAUGAUAAAGAGAAGAGAAGCAUGGCCCUUGCACAAGAAUGUCAUGCAAAUUUCUGAAGUAUUUUAUGUUUUA
ensembl:snRNA U6 U6 spliceosomal RNA